rnacentral:lncRNA from 1 species
UUACUGAGGAGUUUCGCUUUUAAAUUCAAAGAUUUUUUGUAAAAAGACCAUCUAGCCAGCAGGUGAAGAUGAAGAAACAGGAACUGUUUUGUAUCUCUCACCCAGUGCUCCGAACCCCCAGCCACCGAUGUUUGAAAUGCUCCUAAAAAAUUGACGAUAGUCUCCAGAAAAUGAAAGUCCUGGUCUAACGUGACCCCAAAAAAAUUCCCGCAAUCCUAACUCUUCUGAUCAAUGAUUUUUUAUCAAUUGGCAUGGAACCUAACUUGUAAAACAAAUGGCACAUUUUGCUUAUUACAUUUCCCUGUCUGUGGUGGGAUGUAUGGGUAAAAAUUGAAGUUGGACCCCUAAAAAAUCUUCUAGGGCCCCUAGAAAUUAAACCUUGUGGGCCCAAUAGCACUUCAAACUUUUAAGGUGAGUUUGUAACACUGCUCUCACCCAAACUUAUCACUAAAAAAUUCCAACCAAAAAUUUGAUAAACUUGAUUUUUUGAGGUAAUCAUCCCAGUUUUUCUAUUCACCGGCCAGUUAUUUACUUAUCCGAUCCAACAAGUCUAUUUUUUACCAAUGGGUUUUCCUUUGAUUCACAGCACUCUGGAGAUAGUCGAAGUAUGACUCCAAAAUGGCAUUUUUUCCUUCGCUGAGGGAUGACGAAACAUGCCAGUUCCAUUGAAACUCACAGACCCCUCUUUUUCGCCAGUUGUAUCCACAUCCAUGACUCUGCACGGGAAACCGCCAAAGUAUUCAUAUUCAUCCGGAUCUGAUUUCAAACCCAGAGGUUCAGGAGCCAUGUCCCGCAGUUCAAGUCUUCUUGCAUCCCACUCGAGGAAGUUGUGAGACUCAGCAUCGAUCCAUAUGCCAGGUCACAGCACGACAGCACGAGGACUAAGAUACAACAUUAAAUAAUUAGUAAGCCAUUGCAUGGUGUUUUAUGCUGCCGCAUGUAACAGUUGGGAAGAGUCUAUCAAAGUCAGAAACAAAGCAGGACAGUAGGAAAGUUAGUUUCCAUUCUUCUUUCCUAUUAGUCGCUGCAAUUUUGCAUGAUGUAAAAUUUGUAUGCAGGCAAGUACAAGCUGAGGAUUCUGCACAGUGAUAAAUAUAUGGCUUGUGCUACUGCUGCAUGCUGUCGUGCUGCUCCUGCCUAUUUCUCGAGUGUUGUAGGAGGUAUAAGUAUCUGCUCUUAAGAUGGGAGGUAUAUUAUAGUUUACUGCCAUCCUGGAGAAGUGAGAGUAAGGGUGUCUAAAAGCA